rnacentral:rRNA from 1 species
UACGUAGGGGGCAAGCGUUAUCCGGAUUUACUGGGUGUAAAGGGAGCGUAGACGGCAGCGCAAGUCUGGAGUGAAAUGCCGGGGCUCAACCGUAAAAUUGCAGUUGAAACUGGCAGUCUUGAGUACAGUAGAGGUGGGCGGAAUUCGUGGUGUAGCGGUGAAAUGCUUAGAUAUCACGAAGAACUCCGAUUGCGAAGGCAGCUCACUGGACUGCAACUGACACUGAGGCUCGAAAGUGUGGGUAUCAAACAGG